AUGGGCACAGUGGCUCAUGCCUAUAAUCCCAGCACUUUGGGAGGCCAAGGUGACCAGAUCAUUUUAGCCCAAAAAUUCAAGACCCACCUGGACAACCUGGUAAAACCUCAUCUCUACUAAAAAUGCAAAAAUUAGCCUGGCGUGGUGAUACACAUGUGUAG